rnacentral:rRNA from 1 species
UACGGAGGGUGCAAGCGUUAUCCGGAUUCACUGGGUUUAAAGGGUGCGUAGGAGGGCAGGUAAGUCAGUGGUGAAAUCCCCGAGCUUAACUUGGGAACUGCCGUUGAUACUAUCUGUCUUGAAUAUUGUGGAGGUGAGCGGAAUAUGUCAUGUAGCGGUGAAAUGCUUAGAUACGACAUAGAACACCAAUUGCGAAGGCAGCUCGCUACACAAUUAUUGACUCUGAUGCACGAAAGCGUGGGGAUCAAACAGG